GUCGUAACAAGGUUUCCGUAGGUGAACCUGCGGAAGGAUCAUUACCACAACGAUCCACGAUCUUUUUUCACCGUGAAGCGCGGUCCACUUGGAUGCUGGUGUGUCAGUGUGAGAGGACUUGUGUGCCUGUCCAUUGCUCACUAGUGGGACUGCACCAACAAAUGUGAUGUUGACUGGCUACUACCAGUUGGCAGAGCGCCCGUCUUUUACGACGUUAACCAGAAUGACCCAACAAACUGAACCAAAAGGGUAGCAUACAACUUGAUUGCGUGCAACCUCAACAAAGUAAAUAACUUACAACUUUCAGCGAUGGAUGUCUAGGUUCCCA
rnacentral:misc_RNA from 1 species